rnacentral:lncRNA from 1 species
CUCAGAAUUGAGGGUCACUUGGGAACACAGUAGUGACGGGCGUUGUCUUAGCCAAGUGUCUUCCCAACAAAGGAUGGAGAGGGGAGGCUCUCAGAGGGAGCAAAAAGAUGUCACACAAGCUCACCUCCCCACUCUCUCUCCUGCCCCCUUUCAGUUACUUAGUCAUCCACUCAACAGACAUGUGCUUAUUACAAGCCAGGCACCAGCGGGUGCGGAAAUGAACAAGUCCCCAUGGCAGCCCUCGCAAACCAACGACGAAAACAGCACGAUGAGCAAUUGGCCGGUACGAGCAGUGAACCUGGGCUUCUGCAGGGGUCAGAGUCCCAGCCUGGGAGUGAAAAGAGCUGGUUGUGAUCCGAACCCACCGCUGACUGGUGGACCACUCACUCCUUAUUCAGCCAUGCAGCUUGAACAAGUCAUUUCCUGUCAGUUUCUUUGUUUGUCAAAUGAGAAUAAUUUUUCCUGUCUUAUAGCGUUAUUGUGA